UAACCUGCCCUUAAGUCUGGGAUACCAUUUGGAAACAGAAUGCUAAUACCGGAUAAAGCUACUUUCGCAUGAAAGAAGUUUAAAAGGCGGCGUAAGCUGUCGCUAAAGGAUGGACCUGCGAUGCAUUAGCUAGUUGGUAAGGUAACGGCUUACCAAGGCGAUGAUGCAUAGCCGAGUUGAGAGACUGAUCGGCCACAUUGGGACUGAGACACGGCCCCAAACUCCUACGGGAGGCAGCAGAU
rnacentral:rRNA from 1 species